rnacentral:rRNA from 1 species
AUUGAACGCUGGCGGCAGGCCUAACACAUGCAAGUCGAGCGAGCGGCGGACGGGUGAGUACUGUCUGGGAAACUGCCUGAUGGAGGGGGAUAACGACUGGAAACGGUAGAUAAUACCGCAUAACAUCAGAUGUGCCCAGAUGGGAUUAGCUAGUAGGUGGGGUAAUGGCUCACAUAGGCGACGAGCCCUAGCUGGUCUGAGAGUAUGACCCGCCACACUGGAACUGAGACACGGUCCAUACUCCUACGGGAGGCAGCAGUGGUGAAUAUUGCACAAUGGGCGCAAGCCUGAUGCAGCCAGGCCGCGUGUGUGAAGACGGCCUUCGGGUUGUAAAGCACUUUCAGCGGGGAGGCGUUACCCGCAGAAGAAGCACCGGCUAACUCCGUGCCAGCAGCCGCGGUAAUUC